UGCAGACACACAUGGCCUCCUCCAAUAU
rnacentral:piRNA from 1 species